rnacentral:rRNA from 1 species
UACAGGGAGGGCAAGCGUUGUUCGGAAUUACUGGGCGUAAAGGGUCUGUAGGUGCCAACUAAGUCAGACGUGAAAUCCCCUCAAGCUGAACUGGGACUGCGUCUGAUGACGUGGAUUGGCUCGGAGUGGUGGGAGAGGAAUCGCGGAAGUUCCAGGUGAGGCGGUAGAAAUGCGUAGAUAUCGGGAGGAACACCGGUGGCGAAGGCGGCAUUCUGGACCAGUAACUGACACUGAGAG